GACACAAAAAACACAGUGAAGCUGCUCUACAAACCUUGACAAAAACAUGUCAUUUCCAAGCCUCGCAAACCAAAACCUGCAGUUGUCAGGAUCUUCAAAUCAAACAGGACUUGUCCAGCAGAAUGAAUGAAUACCAGUUUUCACGGUUCUGCUUUGAUGGCUGCUUUAGCAAAGUCGCUAAGUGCAGAAGUACCUAAGAGUUCUAUGCCAUAAAGAUAUUCAAGAGCCCCAAUGAGUUCCAGAAGCCCAACAGAGAGCUGACCAUGCUGAAAAACAUCAGUGGGCUUGACCCUGUGAGUAUUGGUCGGUUCUUUGAGGACUUUCAACAGAAAGGCACACUUGUCUAGUGUUUGAAAUGCUACACGUGGAUAUAGACAUAUUGGAAAAGAAGCUACACUGCAAACCACUCUCCCUUCAUGAGAUUAAACCCAUAACACAGCAGAUGUCUGAAGCGUACCGACUGGGACUGGAUUCCCACCUCAGAGAGGCAAAGCGACUGAGUUCAAAAGUCUGUACGACCUGGUGGUGCUGUACCCAGAUGUGAAAACAUAUGAGGACAAGAUAAAGUUUGUCAGCCUUCUGGGGAUGAUGCUGCAUCUGAAUCCUCACUACACCAAGUGAUGCGCUGACACACCCGUGCUUGAGCGCCUGUAAAUCGGAGUGAUGCCACCAGUUUUGAGUGAAUCAUUUUCUGUGUGUAUUACUUUUUGGCUUACACUUCUGCAGUGAGAUUAAACUUUCGUCAUCCAGUGGCAUAGACCCCACCAGUGGUGAAAUCAGCAGGAGAAGGCAACACCACAACAACUAAAGAAUCACCCUCAGAUUGUGCCACAGUUUUGGCUCACGCUGCUACAGAUGAUGCCGCAGUUGGAUCAGAAAUGACUUGCAGAAACAACGCCGUCUCAGCUGCUCAAGCAGCCUCAGAGAGCGCUGCCAGAUUAACGGAUGACUCUGCCUCUUCAGAGGAAGAUUUGGGUGAGGCUCUAAGAGCAGCAUCAAACGAGCCUGCACUCAUACACAUUGUAACCACGCCCAUGAUGACUGCCCUCUGUGGCACUGCUUCAGCUGUCAGGAACGGUCUUCAUGUUCUCAGCUUCAAAGGUUAACAAUGAGUCACAUGAAGUUGCCAACGGUUCCGCAGAUUGAGUCUCAGCUGAAGCAAAUGAUGCUGUCCGAGCUGAUGACGUCCGGUCAGCAGCACCACACUGGGUGAAGUUAACUGUGACCCUAGUAUGGACAGAAAUGCUCGGACUGAAAGCAGUUAGAAAAUGUUUGGACAGGAUGUUUAGCUCUCCAUACUGCUGUGGCUAUAAGUCAACAUAAUCGUUCAAUGUUUUUCUCAUAUUCCCACAAAUUAAAUACAAAUAUUAACUUACAGGCCUUGAGUUGUCUGACCUGGUGACUGAAAAAGCAGUCACAUAGCAACAGCCUCAGCAGAUGCAGUGACAGCAGUUGUAGCAGGAGGAGCACUUGUGUCAGCUUCACUAUAACACCAAUGCUGUAGUUUUAGUAGCUGUAAGUUUUGAAACUGAAAAAAAAAAUCAUCAUUAAUCAUUUGCCUUUAAUAUUUUUCCUCACAAAGUUUAAUUACUUUACAAAAUUUUUCACAUUUAAAUCAACUGCUGCGAAUAUUUCAGUUCAAGUUUAAACACCAAAUACCAGAUUUGCUUUGGAAGCUAAUCAUUAUCAGAUAUUUAACUUAUGUGAAAGAUUGUAUUAUUUAUCUGCAGUUAAAAAAUAUAACAAAUACAAAUAACUCAACCCCCACGUAUGCAUCUCUUUGGAACUAAAAAGAGACCAUUUUUGUGCCUGAUAUCACACAAAAACUAUAAAAAAAAUGGAAAUGUGUGGUGUGGUAAGGUCAUUAAUCCACUUCAGCACCUAGAAAUAAAUAUACUAUGCAUGCCUGUUCGUGAUUAGUUACGGGUUCAUGAUGUUGUUUAAAGUAAGUUGUUUAGGCUUGAAUUUGUUGUGUAGCCUGUAAAGGUAGCCAAGUGUAUAGGCUAUAAUUAUACAGGAAUUCCUCUUCCAAACAGUUUGAAAUGCACAUAAGCGAUGGUAUAAAUGCGCUCUGACAAAAUUACAGUGUGAGUUGAGAUAAUGCCCCCUUGCUGGUCACCUGUCCAGCACAUAUGGUCUGACAUCUCUGACUCUCUGACUGUGCUUGAUAUUAAAGAUGUAUAGCAUGGUGCACCCAAUUUCAGUAACAUAAAUGAUGUGAAAACUUUUUCCACCACUCUCCUUUGGUAACACACAAACACCAACCAUCUGCAGGUUUGCUGACUGCAAAUAAAGACUCCAGGUCUCUGAUUUCUUGCUUAAAAUAUGCACACAGACACACACGACUCUGAAUUUUUGACUGAAAGUAAGCUGGGCUUUUUUGUUUUUACAGUAAAGUCAAAUUCCUCUGUACUGAAAAAAAUAGACUUCACACACUGAAUUUCAAGUACUUGUUCAGGAUCUAAUAGGGGAAUGCAUUCAGAGUCUUCCAGAAUGUUAAAUCUUCUUU